rnacentral:rRNA from 1 species
GAUGAACGCUGGCGGCGUGCCUAAUACAUGCAAGUCGAGCGAACGGACGAGAAGCUUGCUUCUCUGAUGUUAGCGGCGGACGGGUGAGUAACACGUGGAUAACCUACCUAUAAGACUGGGAUAACUUCGGGAAACCGGAGCUAAUACCGGAUGAUAUUUUGAACCGCAUGGUUCAAAAGUGAAAGACGGUCUUGCUGUCACUUAUAGAUGGAUCCGCGCUGCAUUAGCUAGUUGGUAAGGUAACGGCUUACCAAGGCAACGAUGCAUAGCCGGCCUGAGAGGGUGAUAGGCCACACUGGAACUGAGACACGGUCCAGACUCCUACGGGAGGCAGCAGUAGGGAAUCGUCCGCAAUGGGCGAAAGCCUGACGGAGUAACGCCGCGUGAGUGAUGAAGGUCUUCGGAUCGUAAAACUCUGUUAUUAGGGAAGAACAUAUGUGUAAGUAACUGUGCACAUCUUGACGGUACCUAAUAAGAAAGCCACGGCUAACUACGUG